AAAUUGAAGAGUUUGAUCAUGGCUCAGAUUGAACGCUGGCGGCAGGCCUAACACAUGCAAGUCGAGCGGUAGCACAGAGAGCUUGCUCUCGGGUGACGAGCGGCGGACGGGUGAGUAAUGUCUGGGAAACUGCCUGAUGGAGGGGGAUAACUACUGGAAACGGUAGCUAAUACCGCAUAACGUCGCAAGACCAAAGUGGGGGACCUUCGGGCCUCAUGCCAUCAGAUGUGCCCAGAUGGGAUUAGCUAGUAGGUGGGGUAAUGGCUCACCUAGGCGACGAUCCCUAGCUGGUCUGAGAGGAUGACCAGCCACACUGGAACUGAGACACGGUCCAGACUCCUACGGGAGGCAGCAGUGGGGAAUAUUGCACAAUGGGCGCAAGCCUGAUGCAGCCAUGCCGCGUGUGUGAAGAAGGCCUUCGGGUUGUAAAGCACUUUCAGCGGGGAGGAAGGCGUUAAGGUUAAUAACCUUGUCGAUUGACGUUACCCGCAGAAGAAGCACCGGCUAACUCCGUGCCAGCAGCCGCGGUAAUACGGAGGGUGCAAGCGUUAAUCGGAAUUACUGGGCGUAAAGCGCACGCAGGCGGUCUGUCAAGUCGGAUGUGAAAUCCCCGGGCUCAACCUGGGAACUGCAUUCGAAACUGGCAGGCUAGAGUCUUGUAGAGGGGGGUAGAAUUCCAGGUGUAGCGGUGAAAUGCGUAGAGAUCUGGAGGAAUACCGGUGGCGAAGGCGGCCCCCUGGACAAAGACUGACGCUCAGGUGCGAAAGCGUGGGGAGCAAACAGGAUUAGAUACCCUGGUAGUCCACGCCGUAAACGAUGUCGAUUUGGAGGUUGUGCCCUUGAGGCGUGGCUUCCGGAGCUAACGCGUUAAAUCGACCGCCUGGGGAGUACGGCCGCAAGGUUAAAACUCAAAUGAAUUGACGGGGGCCCGCACAAGCGGUGGAGCAUGUGGUUUAAUUCGAUGCAACGCGAAGAACCUUACCUGGUCUUGACAUCCACAGAACUUUCCAGAGAUGGAUUGGUGCCUUCGGGAACUGUGAGACAGGUGCUGCAUGGCUGUCGUCAGCUCGUGUUGUGAAAUGUUGGGUUAAGUCCCGCAACGAGCGCAACCCUUAUCCUUUGUUGCCAGCGGUUAGGCCGGGAACUCAAAGGAGACUGCCAGUGAUAAACUGGAGGAAGGUGGGGAUGACGUCAAGUCAUCAUGGCCCUUACGACCAGGGCUACACACGUGCUACAAUGGCAUAUACAAAGAGAAGCGACCUCGCGAGAGCAAGCGGACCUCAUAAAGUAUGUCGUAGUCCGGAUUGGAGUCUGCAACUCGACUCCAUGAAGUCGGAAUCGCUAGUAAUCGUAGAUCAGAAUGCUACGGUGAAUACGUUCCCGGGCCUUGUACACACCGCCCGUCACACCAUGGGAGUGGGUUGCAAAAGAAGUAGGUAGCUUAACCUUCGGGAGGGCGCUUACCACUUUGUGAUUCAUGACUGGGGUGAAGUCGUAACAAGGUAACCGUAGGGGAACCUGCGGUUGGAUCACCUCCUUA
rnacentral:rRNA from 1 species